AUCAGUAUAGGGUUAGCAAUCACGCAACACACAGCUUUAACAACAAGCAGAGUCGGGUAAUAAUAGCAAAAACCCAGUAGUAGAUGCAUAAAACCAGAUAGAAAGAGUCCACAAUAGAUGCAGUAGUACUUGAAUACCAAUAUCAAAACUCAGCAACACCCAAAUGUAUACCAGCAGUACCAGAAUCAAACAACAACUUAACAAGACCAAGUAAAUACAAAAAAACCCAAUAUAGGUGAACCAGUGACAGUACUCAAGAGAGAUGGUCCAGUGAUAGAUGGACAAUUAGCAAUACACUCAAGAGUUCCGGCCUUAAUUUCACUUAGUUUAACUCAGCUGUUUUGGUGUUAAAAAAAACCAGCUUAGCCACUCUAUUACCCUUUAAACCUAUUUUUCUAAUACUCAACUUCUAAUAUCAAAAAUUCAGUUCCAAGCUCUGAAUUUCUCCCCCAAAUCCAGUCCUGAAUGAAUCCUAUUUAUAGGCUAGAGCUGAACAUUUUUUAUUCAAAUUGUUUUCACUUUUCAGCCUGUAUAUUCCCUCCCAUAUGCCUUUGCACCCUUUUAUCAUUAACUUAAUGUUCUAAUUUUCCAUCUCUAAAGUAUUGAAAGAAAUGUCAGCUUUUUAAUUCUUUAUUAAGACCCUAUGUUAAUUCUGAUUUUCAACUAGCAAACAUACUGGUUUUAUUUUUUUAAUCCCAAAGUGUAUGGGUAGCCUGAAUAUUAAUUUCAGACGUGCCUAUAACACAUGGGCUUCACUCAAAACUUCUUAAUCCUAUGUUUACUAGUCUGAAACUAACCUAUAUAAACUCAUACUUAAAACUGAUUUCAGGCUUUAAGUUUAUAAUUUCUACAGCUAAUACCAAUCCUAAGUUCAAAAAGGCAGAAGGGUGCAAAUUCAAGGAGUGAGCUGGCCAGUUUGGUAAACCAAACCUGACAAAGCUCCAAACAAAUACACAAAUUUUAGGAAAUCAGAAAAGAAAUGACCAAAUAAAGGCCUUUACAGAGAUGAACAGAUAUUAAACGAGAACAAAAGGAAAACUUAAAUUAAUUAACACAACAUGCAAUAACACAGACAACACACCUAAGAAUAAGGAAAAAAAGAAGAAAGGCUUAUCUUUUUUUUGGCUCACGAACAAACGACCUGGACUUCGACCGGAUUCGGCCUUUUUAGGUCGAAUGGACCUUAAAUAAGGUCCGAUAGACCUUGAUUUACCAUCAAAUUAGACAGAAAACCCCAUCUUGGAUUUCUAGGGUUCUUGUGAGUAAUUUGGGGUUCAAUGGUUUCCGGGAAGAUUCGACUCGAACCAGGGUUUGUUUCGGCACGAGGAAGGUUAAAGGAAGGCUAGGUAUUGAUUUUGGAGGGUUUGGUGUAGAUUGAGCUGUGACUUGACUCUUCAAAUGAAGAUUCCAGAAGAUGUGGUUUUAUUCGAGGAAUGGGGCUUGGAUAUUUAGGUUUAGGGUGAUGAGG
rnacentral:lncRNA from 1 species